UUUAUACUCUCUCCGUCCUAAAAUUUAUGUCUUAUAUUUGUCUAGAUACAGAUGUAUCUAAUACUAAAAUGUGAUUUGAUACAUCCGUAUUUAGAUAAAUCUAAAACAAGAAUUUAGGGACGGAGGGAGUAUAUU
rnacentral:pre_miRNA from 1 species